CCGCAGUCAGCAAGCCCACAGCCUGCCGGCAGUAGCCAGCAAGCCCACAGCCUGCCAGCCGCAGCCAGCAAGCCCACAGACUGCCAGCCAGCAACAGUAAUUAAGGUAAGAGGAGCCAACUUGGCUUAGGUAUCAGCGAGCUAUGUUGUGUUGCUAUAUUGUGAAUAGGAACCAGAGUGUUGGAGAGACCACCCUCCAGGCCCCAU